GCCAAUUCGUGUGGAUUGGACACUUCAAAGAAAGCCUAGCUCCCGCUGGGGAAAGAGAGAGAGGGUGGGUGGGAGAAGAGAACAAAAACUCGAGGGAGGGCGUAGAGAGAGAGAGAGAGAGAAAGCUGUGGCCUUUGCGUGGGGAAGCCAUUGCGGGUGCAGAGGAGGAGGAAAAGUAGGAGGAGGAGGAGGGAGGAGCAUGGAGGAGAGAGUGAAGGGUGGAGGCGAGCCAUUGGAGGUGGUGGAGCAGCAGGAGAGGGCAGCGAGGCUGGCCAAAAGGAGAUUUGGCGCCGUGGGCCCGCCGCCCUCCAGCUGAGGAGGAAGUGGCGAGGGAGGAGGAGGAGGUGGCGGAGGAGGAUCUCCUCUCACGUCAAAGAGUAGGAGAAAGCAUAAAGGGAGGAGGAGGAGGAGGAGGAGAGGGGGAAGGGGGAGAGCUUCCAGGCCGCACAAAGCGAGAAAAAAGCUUCAGAAAGAAAGAAAGAAAGCGAGUAGGAAAGAAGGCUUCAGAGGAAGAGCAAGGCAUCCAUCCAGCCAGUGGUGUCGUGAUAAAUAGCGGCUCCGAGCCGAGGGCAUCCGGUGCUCUCGCCACUACUGUGCAUUGCCUUAGCUUCUCUCGCGCUCCUCCAUUGAAGUAGCUAGGUGUGUAGCAGCAGCAGCUAGCCGGGUGUUGUGUUCGAGCUUGGUGGUGAUGGCAUUGCAAGAGCAGGAAGAGGAGGGCGGCGAUCAUGGCAAGGAAGAAGAAGAUGAGGAGGGGAUGAUGAGGGUGUGGGGGAGCUGAUCCCUCCUUGUCCCGAGGUGUGCUGUCCACUUGUGGAGUAGUAAGAUAUUGGCACAAUAGGCUCAAUCACUUUCUUUUUUUUGCCCUUUUCUUCUUGGUUUGCUGUUCUUCCCCUAAUUCAUCAUUACAUACUCUUCCUCGUGUAAUCUUGUUCCCGUUUGCUGUUU